UCCAUUGUGGCUUAGCUGGUAAAGAAUCCACCUGCAAUGUGGGAGACCUGGGUUUGAUCCCUGCAUUGGGA
rnacentral:tRNA from 1 species